UGGGGAAUAUUGCACAAUGGGCGCAAGCCUGAUGCAGCCAUGCCGCGUGUAUGAAGAAGGCCUUCGGGUUGUAAAGUACUUUCAGCGGGGAGGAAGGUGUUGUGGUUAAUAACCACAGCAAUUGACGUUACCCGCAGAAGAAGCACCGGCUAACUCCGUGCCAGCAGCCGCGGUAAUACGGAGGGUGCAAGCGUUAAUCGGAAUUACCGGGCGUAAAGCGCACGCAGGCGGUCUGUCAAGUCGGAUGUGAAAUCCCCGGGCUCAACCUGGGAACUGCAUCCGAAACUGGCAGGCUUGAGUCUUGUAGAGGGGGGUAGAAUUCCAGGUGUAGCGGUGAAAUGCGUAGAGAUCUGGAGGAAUACCGGUGGCGAAGGCGGCCCCCUGGACAAAGACUGACGCUCAGGUGCGAAAGCGUGGGGAGCAAACA
rnacentral:rRNA from 1 species